UACAGGGGGUGCGAGCGUUACUCGGAAUUACUGGGCGUAAAGCGUGCGUAGACGGUUAUUUAAGUCGGAUGUGAAAGCCCCUGGCUCAACUGGGGAAGUGCACCCGAAACUGAAUGGCUUGAGUGCGAAAGAGGGUCGCGGAAUUCCCGGUGUAGAGGUGAAAUUCGUAGAUAUCGGGAGGAACACCGGUGGCGAAGGCGGCGACCUGGGUCGACACUGACGCUGAGGCGCGAAAGCGUGGGGAGCAAACAGG
rnacentral:rRNA from 1 species